rnacentral:rRNA from 1 species
GACGGGGCCCGCACAAGCGUGGAGCAUGUGGUUUAAUUCGACGAUACGCGAAGAACCUUACCUGGCCUUGACAUACUAAAAAGCUUUAAGAGAUUAGAGUGUGCUAGCUUGCUAGAAUUUAGAUACAGGUGCUGCACGGCUGUCGUCAGCUCGUGUCGUGAGAUGUUGGGUUAAGUCCCGCAACGAGCGCAACCCUCGUGUUUAGUUGCUAACAGUUCGGCUGAGAACUCUAAACAGACUGCCUACGCAAGUAGGAGGAAGGUGAGGACGACGUCAAGUCAUCAUGGCCCUUACGGCCAGGGCUACACACGUGCUACAAUGGGGUAUACAAAGAGCAGCGAUACGGUGACGUGGAGCAAAUCUAGAAAAUGCCUCUCAGUUCGGAUUGUAGUCUGCAACUCGACUACAUGAAGUUGGAAUCGCUAGUAAUCGUAGAUCAGCAAUGCUACGGUGAAUACGUUCCGGUCUU